AUAUGGGUCUCUAGCAUAAAAGC
rnacentral:piRNA from 1 species